AGGGAAUCUUCCGCAAUGGACGAAAGUCUGACGGAGCAACGCCGCGUGAGUGAUGAAGGUUUUCGGAUCGUAAAGCUCUGUUGCCAGGGAAGAACGUCUUAGAGAGUAACUGCUCUAAGAGUGACGGUACCUGAGAAGAAAGCCCCGGCUAACUACGUGCCAGCAGCCGCGGUAAUACGUAGGGGGCGAGCGUUGUCCGGAAUUAUUGGGCGUAAAGCGCGCGCAGGCGGCUGUUUAAGUCUGGUGUUUAAUCCUGGGGCUCAACCCCGGGUCGCACUGGAAACUGGACGGCUUGAGUGCAGAAGAGGAGAGUGGAAUUCCACGUGUAGCGGUGAAAUGCGUAGAGAUGUGGAGGAACACCAGUGGCGAAGGCGACUCUCUGGGCUGUAACUGACGCUGAGGCGCGAAAGCGUGGGGAGCAAAC
rnacentral:rRNA from 1 species